GAUGCUUCAUGCCUCCUCCUCUGACAAAGUAACCAAACCCCACCUCCUGUUCAGGGGACAAGGAAAAGCCCAGGACUUGCAGAUGGCAAGUUGUCAUACGCAGUGACGUAGUGAGGCAAGUUGUUCCUGGCUCCCGUCUGAAAACUCUGUCCUCCCAGGCCUUCCUGUCAUGUCCCAGUCGCCCUUCUGCCGGCCUCACCUCCUGGUCACAGGCUUGGACUCGUGUGGUCUUCAGAGGAAAGCAUCUGCAUACACCCAGGACCAAACCACAUUCCGUGCAGUAGUGACGAGAACACUUGUGGACCUCCACCUCUAAAAGUGCAAUUACCAGAGAAAAGAAGCCACAUCUCCAAUGAAAGGCAUAAAAUGAGAUGGAAGAAAUUCUCAGAUAAAGCCCAAUAAUUAAGAUUAUCCUUAACAACCACUGUCCUAGUUGCUAACUAGCUUUUUAAAGUCACCUUUGUGACCUCAUCUUGUGCCUAGCACAAAGCAAGCACUCAAUAAAUGGUUGAUGCAAGA